UAUCAGUCAUGCAUAGCAUAUCAAUAAGCGGAGGAAAAGAAACUAACAAGGAUUCCCUUAGUAACGGCGAGUGAAGCGGGAAGAGCUCAAAUUUGAAAUCUUCAAGGUUUUACCUUGACGAAUUGUAGUUUAAAGAAGUGUUUUCUGUUGAAGUUUUGGUAAAAGUUCUUUGGAAUAGGACAUCAUAGAGGGUGAGAAUCCCGUAUUUGACCAUUACUUUCAGCUUUGUGAUACACUUUCAAAGAGGUCGGAUUGUUUGGGAAUGCAGUCCAAAAUGGGUGGUAAAUUUCAUCUAAAGCUAAAUAUUGGCGAGAGACCGAUAGCGAACAAGUACCGUGAGGGAAAGAUGAAAAGAACUUUGAAAAGAGAGUUAAACAGUACGUGAAAUUGUCAAAAGGGAAGCGUUUGACACCAGUGUUGUUUUCUCGAAAAUCAAUUAAAAAGAGUUGGAUUUUGUGUUGUAUUGACUUUAUCAGCUUUCUUCACUCUUUUCCAGCUUUUUUUAAUGCACUUUUCGUUUAACAAGUCAACAUCAGUUUCUUUUGUUGUAAAAAGGUCAUUGGAAGGUGGCUUUCUCUUCGGAGAAAGUGUUUAUAGCCUUUGACUCAUGCAAUCGGAGAGACUGAGGUCUGCAGCGUAGAUCCUUCGGGGUUAGAUACAUUUGUGCUAAGUUAUAGCUUUUCAUAGACAACUUGUUGACUAUGUUUAGUCUUGUAGCUUACUCGCUUAUGCUAUUUUACCUACGCUUAGGAUGUUGAACUCUAUCACACACAG
rnacentral:rRNA from 1 species